GCAUGCCUGUUUGAGCGUCGUUUCUCCCUCAAACCGCUGGGUUUGGUGUUGAGCAAUACGACUUGGGUUUGCUUGAAAGACGGUAGUGGUAAGGCGGGAUCGCUUUGACAAUGGCUUAGGUCUAACCAAAAACAUUGCUUGCGGCGGUAACGUCCACACACGUAUAUCUUCAAACUUUGACCUCAAAUCAGGUAGGACUACCCCCAAAUCUUAAGCAUAUCAAUAAGCGGAGGAAAAGAAACCAACAGGGAUUGCCUCAGUAGCGGCGAGUGAAGCGGCAAAAGCUCAAAUUUGAAAUCUGGCGUCUUUGGCGUCCGAGUUGUAAUUUGAAGAAGGUAUCUUUGGGCCCGGCUCUUGUCUAUGUUCCUUGGAACAGGA
rnacentral:rRNA from 1 species